rnacentral:rRNA from 1 species
AGCGAACGCUGGCGGCAGGCCUAACACAUGCAAGUCGAACGGUAACGCCGGGCAACCUGGCGACGAGUGGCGAACGGAUGAGUAAUGCAUCGGAACGUGCCCAGGAGUGGGGGAUAACUCCUCGCAAGAGCAGCUAAUACCGCAUACGACCUGAGGGUGAAAGCGGGGGAUCGCAAACCCCCGCGCGAUUGGAGCGGCCGAUGUCAGAUUAGGUAGUUGGGGGGGUAAAGGCCCACCAAGGCCACGAUCUGGAGCGGGACUGAGAGGACGAACAGCCACACUGGGACUGAGACACGGCCCAGACUCCUACGGGAGGCAGCAGUGGGGAAUUUUGGACAAUGGACGCAAGUCUGAUCCAGCCAUGUCGCGUGCGGGAAGAAGGCCUUCGGGUUGUAAACCGCUGUUGUCAGGGAAGAAACGCUCUGGGUUAAUACCUCGGGGUAAUGACGGUACCUGAAGAAUAAGCACCGGCUAACUACGUGCCAGCCGCCGCGGUAAAAC